rnacentral:rRNA from 1 species
UAGAGUUUGAUCCUGGCUCAGAGUGAACGCUGGCGGCAGGCCUAACACAUGCAAGUCGAACGGCAGCGGGUAGGAAGCUUGCUUCCUAUGCCGGCGAGUGGCGGACGGGUGAGGAACACAUCGGAAUCUACUCCGUCGUGGGGGAUAACGUAGGGAAACUUACGCUAAUACCGCAUACGACCUAAGGGUGAAAGUGGGGGACCGCAAGGCCUCACGCGAUGGAAUGAGCCGAUGUCCGAUUAGCUAGUUGGCGGGGUAAAGGCCCACCAAGGCGACGAUCGGUAGCUGGUCUGAGAGGAUGAUCAGCCACACUGGGACUGAGACACGGCCCAGACUCCUACGGGAGGCAGCAGUGGGGAAUAUUGGACAAUGGGCGAAAGCCUGAUCCAGCCAUGCCGCGUGGGUGAAGAAGGCCUUCGGGUUGUAAAGCCCUUUUGUUGGGGAAGAAAUCCUGCUGGCUAAUACCCGGCGGGGAUGACGGUACCCAAAGAAUAAGCACCGGCUGACUUCGUGCCAGCAGCCGCGGUAAUACGAAGGGUGCAAGCGUUACUCGGAAUUACUGGGCGUAAAGCGUGCGUAGGUGGUGGCUUAAGUCCCGUUGUGAAAGCCCUGGGCUCAACCUGGGAAUUGCAGUGGGAUACUGGGUCACUAGAGUGUGUGUAGAG